AGCGGGACAGACGGCCGCUGCCGGGCAGACGAAAGGGUCCGGGAGAGGAAAGUCCGGGCUUCACAGGGCAGGAUGCCGGAUAACGUCCGGCGGAGGUGACUCCAGGGACAGUGCAACAGAAAUGUACCGCCAUGACCGGUGAUGCGCUCCGGCGUACUUACCGGCAGGGUAAGGGUGGAAGGGCAGUGUAAGAGACUACCGCUCGCCUGGUGACAGGCGGGGCAUAUGUAAACCCCAUUCGAAGCAAGACCGCAGCGAGACAUAUGGCGGCCCGUCAGUCUCAGGUAGGUCGCUUGAGCUGUCUGGCAACAGACAGCCUGGAUAGAUGGCCGUCCGCGACAUAACCCGGCUUAUCGUCCCACUUA
rnacentral:RNase_P_RNA from 1 species